rnacentral:rRNA from 1 species
AUUGAACGCUGGCGGCAGGCCUAACACCUGCAAGUCGAACGAGUGGCGGACGGGUGAGUAAUGUCUGGGAAACUGCCCGAUGGAGGGGGAUAACUACUGGAAACGGUCGCUAAUACCGCAUACCAUCGGAUGUGCCCAGAUGGGAUUAGCUAGUAGGUGGGGUAACGGCUCACCUAGGCGACGAUCCCUAGCUGGUCUGAGAGGAUGACCAGCCAAACUGGAACUGAGACAAGGUCAAGACUCCUACGGGAGGCAGCAGUGGGGAAUAUGGAACAAUGGGCGCAAGCCUGAUGAAGCCAUGCCGCGUGUAUGAAGAGGGCCUUCGGGUUGCAAAGUACUUUCAGCGAGUAGGCGUUCCUCGCAUAAGAAGCACCGGCUAACUCCGUUCCAGCAGCCGCGGUAAUAC